GGGGUUGUAUUUUAAGUUGUAAAAAUAUGUGUUUUGCAUGCACAAGAUUGUGACUCUA
rnacentral:tRNA from 1 species